rnacentral:rRNA from 1 species
UACGUAGGGCGCAAGCGUUGUCCGGAAUUAUUGGGCGUAAAGAGCUCGUAGGCGGCUUGUCACGUCGGGUGUGAAAGCCCGGGGCUUAACCCCGGGUCUGCAUUCGAUACGGGCUAGCUAGAGUGUGGUAGGGGAGAUCGGAAUUCCUGGUGUAGCGGUGAAAUGCGCAGAUAUCAGGAGGAACACCGGUGGCGAAGGCGGAUCUCUGGGCCAUUACUGACGCUGAGGAGCGAAAGCGUGUGGAGCGAACAGG